GAACGACGGCGCCAACCCCGAGGAUUCGGUUUUGCUGCAACCAUCCCCUACCCACAGUACAGCGAACCUGAACUUCAUCAUGACAUCGGUCUUAUCAGACUUAACAGGAGAGUGACGAUACAGCCUUACAUCCGGCCUGUGUGUCUUCCAUGGGGCGCAGGGAGCAACGUGGACCUUAUUGGCAAAACAGUAACCGUGACUGGAUGGGGACUCACGCAACCAGGUGGAAGACAUAGCCCCGUGUUGCAAGAGGUAGGCGUGACAGUGUUCCCGAGCGCAAAGUGUGACCAGGACUAUAAGAAACAUACUUUCUACGAUCGCCUGUGGCCGC